rnacentral:rRNA from 1 species
GAUGAACGCUGGCGGCGUGCUUAACACAUGCAAGUCGAACGGUGAAGGCGGAGCUUGCUCUGCUGGAUCAGUGGCGAACGGGUGAGUAACACGUGAGUAAUCUGCCCCUGACUCUGGGAUAAGCGCUGGAAACGGCGUCUAAUACUGGAUACGAGCUGCGAAGGCAUCUUCAGCAGCUGGAAAGAACUUCGGUCAGGGAUGAGCUCGCGGCCUAUCAGCUUGUUGGUGAGGUAACGGCUCACCAAGGCGUCGACGGGUAGCCGGCCUGAGAGGGUGACCGGCCACACUGGGACUGAGACACGGCCCAGACUCCUACGGGAGGCAGCAGUGGGGAAUAUUGCACAAUGGGCGAAAGCCUGAUGCAGCAACGCCGCGUGAGGGACGACGGCCUUCGGGUUGUAAACCUCUUUUAGCAGGGAAGAAGCGAAAGUGACGGUACCUGCAGAAAAAGCGCCGGCUAACUACGUG